rnacentral:rRNA from 1 species
GGAGGCGUCSAGCGGCGGACGGSUGAGUAAUGCAUAGGAAUCUGCCCGGUAGUGGGGGAUAACCUGGGGAAACCCAGGCUAAUACCGCAUACGCCCUACGGGGGAAAGCAGGGGAUCUUCGGACCUUGCGCUAUCGGAUGAGCCUAUGUCGGAUUAGCUAGUUGGUGAGGUAAYGGCUCACCAAGGCUGCGAUCCGUAGCUGGUCUGAGAGGAUGAUCAGCCACAUCGGGACUGAGACACGGCCCGAACUCCUACGGGAGGCAGCAGUGGGGAAUAUUGGACAAUGGGCGAAAGCCUGAUCCAGCCAUGCCGCGUGUGUGAAGAAGGCCUUCGGGUUGUAAAGCACUUUCAGUGAGGAAGAAAGCCUUGAGGUUAAUACCCUYKWKKGAGGACAUCACUCACAGAAGAAGCACCGGCUAACUCCGUGCCAGCAGCCGCGGUAAUACGGAGGGUGCGAGCGUUAAUCGGAAUUACUGGGCGUAAAGCGCGCGUAGGCGGCUUGAUAAGCCGGUUGUGAAAGCCCCGGGCUCAACCUGGGAACGGCAUCCGGAACUGUCAGGCUAGAGUGCAGGAGAGGAAGGUAGAAUUCCCGGUGUAGCGGUGAAAUGCGUAGAGAUCGGGAGGAAUACCAGUGGCGAAGGCGGCCUUCUGGACUGACACUGACGCUGAGGUGCGAAAGCGUGGGUAGCAAACAGGAUUAGAUACCCUGGUAGUCCACGCCGUAACGAUGUCGACUAGCCGUUGGGCUCCUUGAGAGCUUUGUGGCGCAGUUAACGCGAUAGUCGACGCUGGGGAGUACGCCGCAGGUUAAAC